rnacentral:rRNA from 1 species
GAUGAACGUUGGCGGUGUGCCUAAUACAUGCAAGUCGAACGGUGAUCUUAUGGGAGCUUGCUUCCAUUUGAUUAUAGUGGCGAACGGGUGAGUAACGCGUUGGUGAUCUGCCUCGAAGUGUGGAAUAACGUUCCGAAAGGGACGCUAAUACCGCAUGUGCUCAAGAUUUUUAGAAAGUUUUGAGUAAAGGAUUUAUUCGCUUCGAGAGGAGCCUGCGUCCCAUCAGCUAGUUGGUAAGGUAACGGCUUACCAAGGCUAUGACGGGUAGGGGACCUGAGAGGGUGGCCCCCCACAAUGGAACUGAAACACGGUCCAUACACCUACGGGUGGCAGCAGUAGGGAAUAUUAGAAAUGGGCGAAAGCCUGAUCUAGCGACACCGCGUGUGCGAUGAAGGCCUUCGGGUUGUAAAGCACUUUUUGGAAGGAAUAGGAAGGAAGGUACUUCCAGAAUAAGUCUCGGCUAACUACGUGCCAGCCGCCGCUGUAACAC